rnacentral:lncRNA from 1 species
GUAAGGUAUACAACAUGAUGUUUUAAGAUAUAGCUAUAGAUAGUAAAAUUAUUACCAUAGUGAUGCAAAUUAAUUUGUUCAUGUUACCUAGUUACCCAUUAUUUUUCUUUCCUUGAUAUAUAAUAUUUUACAUAUUUAUGGGGUAUAUGUGAGUGUUUGUUGCAGGGAUAGAAUAUGUAAUGGUCCCAUUGUUACUGCAAUACCAAGGGUUUGGUCUAGGCCCUACUGCUCACUGCACAGAAAGCCAAUCACUGAGAUGAUGAGUACUGCCAAGGAAGAAGGCUUUAACUUGGUGCUGCAGCCAAGGAGAUGGGAGCUCAGUCUCCAAUUCAUCUCCCUGACUGACUAACUAUGGGUUUAUAUAGCAGGGAAGAAAUGUAACCAUGCAUAAGAAAACAGGAACUAAGGAGGGGCAAGGAAGCCAUCAUCAUGAAUGAGAAGUCUGACAACUGGUGCUGUGAUCUGCUAAUUACCAAGAGCACUUUAAGCACACUGGUGGAUUUAAACAAUGUGAAUAAGUAAGAUUGUGAUUUGGCUUUGACAAAGGCAGAGUCAAGCUGGCUUUGUCAUGUAAAGGGCCUGAGACGGCCACAUGGUAUGUUUAAUUGAUGUAAGUACCAGAAAAUGGCAUAAAUGAGUACAGAAUUUAGUUUAAGGGCAUGAUAAACAUGGGAAGGAAAGAAAUGAAAAGAACUAAGAUGUGGGUGAAAAUAUUUGGAGGCGAUGAAUUGAUUACAGAUGAUUAUUGAAAGCUGUUGGCCAUAACACUCCCAGAGGCCUCAUUGUACGGGUUCAAGAAACUGUCAUAAGAGAAUUCUGAAAGCCAAGGUAAGCAGUAAGUAUCCAUUAGGUAGUUUCCAUUCUUUCUCUUCCUGAAAACGUUUAUCAUCUCCAGUGUGAUUUGCACAUAUUGAUUAAUUAAUCUCUAAGUGACUAAUUUUUCAUUAUUUGACAGAUAAUUAGAUCUUUCAUAAAUCUGUGUAAUAAAAGCAUGCAGGAAGCAUUGUGAGCCAGUUUAAUAAUUGGCAUUAGUUUUCAAGAAGAAUGUGUUCCAGCUCAGUUGUUUCCUUAUUAGAAAUCAUCCUGUCAGGAAACACUUUAUAGAUAAAGUAAAUGAUCUUGUCUUCUGGAAAAUAUGACAAUGAUUUUUAACACUUGCCAUUUCACAAGAACCUAAGGCUCCUAUGCUCCAAUUACCCCAGUCUCUAUUAAUUCAAAAAAAAUGGGUGUGUCUGAAUUUUAGUGAUGUUAAAAAUAUGAAAACCAUGGGUCAUCUUUCCUUUGAUUCUAAAAGUGAAGAUGCAUAGGGAGGUAGAGGACCUGAUUAUAACAACCAAAGAAUUGGAGAAUAUUUGUUUUGGAAAGGAAUUGAAAGAAGGAUGAGCUCAUAUCCUUUAAUUUACAGAGUAAAAACCUGAAUCUCAUAAAGGUUAAAUGAUAAAUCCAAAGAUACAAAACUGAUGGGAGAGAUUUGAUUACACUAUGGUGCCCCACAGUUACCCACUAGGAACUCACCAGCUCCAAAUUUCACCUCCCUUUAGAAGAAAACUCCAUUUCUUUUUGUAAAAUAUCUUGACAGAUUCUCUCUGAAAUUGUGUACACCACAGACAAUGAUCAAGAGAAGUGAUGGACUUUUACAAUCCCAUUAUUCACUUUAUAUCUUUUCCAAUUUUCUGAAUUUACUGAUCCAAAUCCUAAGUCAGUGGUUCCAAACUGAGAAGCCAUUAAUGUAGAAGUGAGAAGCCAAUAGAAAAUCUUUGAACUAUUUAACAAUCUAAGAGAACUCAUACAUUUUACUAACAGUAUAAAUUAUCACGGAACUUCUGAUUUUCGAAGAGACUAUUAUUAAAGGAGAUUAUAUUAAGUUUUUAAUAGUUUGGUACCUCCAUUUUCUAUUAUGAGUUAAAUAAUCUUUAUGAAAUAUGUAUUAUUGUAUUUUUGUGUAUUUUAUAUUUUAAGGAAAAUGUACUGUGAAACUUUGUAAGUAUAUAAUGUUAAAGUAAACUUUAUUAAUUUUCCUUGGCUUCUUAUAAAAUGUAAGCCUUGAUUCACCCACACUUUUUGGUAUUCUAUGUUGAAAGGAAAAUUUUACUAUACUUAAGUGCUGUUCCAAGGUUAAAUACUCAUACAUAUAUUUAAUGUUCCAAUUCUAGAAAUCAAACUUAAGAAGUAACACUUUUGGUGGAACCACAAACGGAAAAGAGUCUUGGGUCCUGAAUCAUGGUUUGGAGAAGACCUUUAUGCCUAUUAGGAGCCAAAAGCCUAAAACUCUAAACUUAAAACACAAGCAAUAGAAUGUUGAUUCUGUCCUGUCUGCAGUAUACAGGAUUAGCUUUUUCUGUUAAGAUAAAACUAGGAAAUAAAGUUGUGUGUGGAAGCAAUAAAAAUCUGAACUAUUCCUACAUGUAAUUCUAGAAAUUUAUAGGUGCUACAUUUUUUGAAAAUUUUAAUGACAUAUAUAAGAAGGAAAAUCAAAUUAAAAAUUCAAGUUGAUGUUAUCUUUAAAAAAAAGUAAUAGUUCAUCCUGUUCAUUCAUAAUCUAAAUUAGGUAAAAACCAGUGAUAAAAUAUUGUGUGUUAUUUUAAAAUAUAUGUAUAUCUACACAAACGAUAUUAUAUAUACAAAUACUCGUACUCAUGUACACACC